AUUUAACUGAAGAGACACAAAUUGGACGAAACGCGCGUCCUGGAU
rfam:Schistosoma rodhaini strain Burundi genome assembly, scaffold: SROB_scaffold0004735